rnacentral:rRNA from 1 species
AGAGUUGUACUGGCUCAGGAUGAACGCUAGCGACAGGCUUAACACAUGCAAGUCGAGGGGCAGCAUAAAAGUAGCAAUACUUGGUGGCGACCGGCGCACGGGUGAGUAACGCGUAUGCAACCUACCUAUCAGAGGGGAAUAACCCGGCGAAAGUCGGACUAAUACCGCAUAAAACAGGGACACCGCAUGGUGAUAUUUGUUAAAGAAAUUCGCUGAUAGAUGGGCAUGCGUUCCAUUAGGUAGUUGGUGAGGUAACGGCUCACCAAGCCGACGAUGGAUAGGGGAACUGAGAGGUUGGUCCCCCACACUGGUACUGAGACACGGACCAGACUCCUACGGGAGGCAGCAGUGAGGAAUAUUGGUCAAUGGGCGAGAGCCUGAACCAGCCAAGUCGCGUGAAAGGAAGAAGGAUCUAUGGUUCGUAAACUUCUUUUGCAGGGGAAUAAAGUGCAGGACGUGUCCUGUUUUGUAUGUACCCUGAGAAUAAGGAUCGGCUAACUCCGUGCCAGCAGCGGC